UGGGGAAUCUUCCGCAAUGGACGAAAGUCUGACGGAGCAACGCCGCGUGAGUGAUGACGGCCUUCGGGUUGUAAAGCUCUGUUAAUCGGGGCGAAUGGUUCUUGUGCGAAUAGUGCGAGGAUUUGACGGUACCGGAAUAGAAAGCCACGGCUAACUACGUGCCAGCAGCCGCGGUAAUACGUAGGUGGCAAGCGUUGUCCGGAAUUAUUGGGCGUAAAGCGCGCGCAGGCGGAUUGGUCAGUCUGUCUUAAAAGUUCGGGGCUUAACCCCGUGAUGGGAUGGAAACUGCCAAUCUAGAGUAUCGGAGAGGAAAGUGGAAUUCCUAGUGUAGCGGUGAAAUGCGUAGAUAUUAGGAAGAACACCAGUGGCGAAGGCGACUUUCUGGACGAAAACUGACGCUGAGGCGCGAAAGCCAGGGGAGCGAACGGG
rnacentral:rRNA from 1 species